UGUUCUGCAGCAUCAGUGACACCUGGCAACUGCAUUCGCCAACCUGGUUCCUGAAGAAUUCAAGGGACCAACAGAGAUCAAGGGGCUUCCUAGGUAAAGGGCCUGAUCAGCCCAGGGCUGUGAGGCAAGUAUGGACUUGGUCAAAGCUUGUUUGGCUACCAGAGAGGAUGGAGGUCACAAGUUUGGCUGUGACAUUGGUUCCAGGCUUAGAUGUAGGGCCAGACUCCCUAAACAUGAGGUCACCUUUCAUGUUCUCAGCUCUUGUUUAAGAAGAAAAAGACAAGGAAACUCUUUGGGGCAGCAACUAACUGGGCAUCCAGAUGUGAGAUGCUUUUUUAUAGGCAGAUUAUAAAAUACAAUCACUCAUUCAAUCAACAGAAGAAGAAAGCCUGAAGUGAAAACUGCCCCAAAGCAUCAGCCAGGGCACUAGGAUGAGAACUUUCUGUGUUUAGAGCCUAACAACGGUCUCCCUUUCUUUUCUCUCAGCUGGGUAACUGGGAGAGGGGGACUCCUUUCCUUCACAUCCCCAGAAAGGCUGGGCCUCCUGUGGUGGGCCAUCAGCUGGGCCGGGUGCUCAGGGAAGGGGCUGAACCAUGCAAGGCUGCCACCUGCUGGUGUUUUUGAGCUUUGUCCAGCCAAAAGGGUCUGCUCAGGUCGGGAGAAUGAGGCAAGGCCAGAGAGCCGGAAGGACCCCAUGAUCCUAAGAACCGUGUUUUAUGCAUACCCUGUGACUCCCACAUCAUUUGUCCUUUGUGCUCCCUACACCACGCCAGCCAGGUGUGGGGCAUGAUUAUGCCCGCUGACAAGGAAGCAAAGGGGUUUAUGUGAGGCAGUGCUGGGACUUUCGGAGCCCCUCUCGGUCCCCUGGAUGUGCCCACCUUCAUAGCCUGCAGGGGCCAAGUAUGACCCAGACUCCACAGCAGACAUGCCAAGCCCUGGGACAGCUUCCUUACCUAAGCUGUUUCAUUUAAUCUUAUGAUCUGUCCAUUGGGUUGGACGCAGCACUGCUUUUCCAGGUAAGAAAGCCAAGGCAUAUAAAGGUUAAGUAAUCCGCAGAAACUCACAGAGCUAACUAGUGGGGAGUGGGGCUGGGCACUGAGUUCGCCUGAGCCUAAGGCCUGUAACAUACACACUCAAACUACACUGCUCAUUAGCACAUAUCUUCUCUGGGAUACAUGUUUGAUUAUGCGUGUCAAUGUGCAUGUAUGUGUGCAUAUCAACCACACACAUGGACACACACAUAUGUCUGUGGGUCUGCCUGCUCCCAAAGGUCCAAGUUUAGGAAUCUGUGCACAUGUGUGGAUCCUGUGCCCAGGGACAGAGGUCUGCGCCCAUGCCAGCCUAUGCUGUGCAGGUGGGGGUGGGCAUCUCCCUCCCAGAGGAAGACAUUGGCUGCCCGCAGCAUGGCCCUCAUUCUCAAGACACCAGGACCUGUGUGAAGCGAAGAGAGAUUAAUCUUUCUACCUCCUGUUGGCUGAGGUCUCUUCUUUGGUCCUUCUCUGUGGUGACUGCACACUGCCCCAGACUGUGGCAAUACAGGUGAAGGGCUUCCACCAUCUGCCAUGAUCUGCCCAGAAGGGGAAGAACACAGAUACAGAGAAACUCUCGAGGCUCCAGUUCGAUCCAACCCAGGCCACCUCCUGAGGAUCAAGAACUGAGAGAUCAAGGGUGGCCUCCAGGGUACCUGCUCCAACCGACACAAUUGAGAUAAGAGCUAGAUGCGAAGGACAGGGGAGGCAGAAACUCAGUCAUCCCUGUCUCACGACCUCAUCAGGAACAGCUCUGGGAAAGACGGCUGACGUGUCAUCAUGAAGACCUCCAAGCAGCCGUGGGGAAAGAGCGGUCAUGCAGCAAGGAGUGUGGCCUCUCAUCAAGCCCUCUUGGAAACAGCCCCACCAGGCUCAGUCAGAGAAGCCUUCAGAGACCUCAACACCUUCUGACAUCGCGAAUCCAUCCAAUCUCUCCAUGACAUAUGAUGUGCGAAGGCCAGAAUGCACUGUGACAGAGGUUCCCAGGAACUGACCUUGGAUGGUAGGCUCUCCACCUGCACCUGUUCUGUUCUGAGACUGAACUCAUUUUACCUUGAAGUCCAGGUUCACAUCAACCUGUGCCUCUGGUUGCCCAGCCCCAAGUUAGGGAAGCCCAAGGAAUGAGAGAAGACUCACCUGAGC